UUAAGUUCAGCGGGUAGUCCUACCUGAUUUGAGAUCUAAUCUUAAAAUGUAGACAUUCUGAUUAGAAGCUUCCUUUAACCCAACCCGGCUCUAAUCCGAAGAUUAGAAUUCCUCAGCGAAUAGUCUAUUACGCCAAGUCAAUCCGAAGUUCGAUUGCGGAUGCUAAUGCAUUACGAACGAGCUAGACCGUAAAGGCCAGC
rnacentral:misc_RNA from 1 species